rnacentral:lncRNA from 1 species
UGUAUGAAACACCUCGCUAAGGACUCAGGAUAAAAGAGUACUUCUCCUUGAGGAGGACACAGUCUGAUGGGGAAACAGGAGUGUACACAGAUGUUUCUUCAUGAUCUUGUGGAAAGUCUUCUUUGAGUAUGGCAUUUCAACUGAAGAUGAUGACCUUCCGUGAAGCAACUGUACAAUUGCAAAGAAGAAAAUGAAAACUCCUGUGAUGAUAUUAGAAGACAUGGAAAGAGCAUUUUCAGUGUCCUAUAAGAAGAUCUUCCAGUGAUAUUGAUCCCAGAAUGUUAACAGCCAGAACACUGAUUUUCUGACAGUAAGUCAAAAUACUCAUAUCAGGAAUUAUGACCAGCCCAAGAAGAACUUCUGGGGGUAUCAACUCCUGGUAUAACAGCGUUAGGGAGCUACAAUGACUAACUCCCUAGUGAAGCUGGUAGAAAGCAUAAAACAUACAUACACACACACACACACACAACCAUUUAAUGCCUCUGGAAGUGGUCCUAAGGGCAAAUAUCUACUCAAGAAUGUCUAUGAGAUUUUGGUAAGAAAGAUAAGAGACUGUGUGAACAAAGACAGCUUCAUUGCUCCUCACUCCCAGUCCCACAAGGCAGAGACUCCACUCCAGA